rnacentral:lncRNA from 1 species
CUGGUCUGGAAAAGUUAGAGGAGAAACACGAUCAGGCUGUUUUCUUCGGUCACACGCCGCCCUCAGCAUUGUCUCGGGCUCUCCAAGAAGCUUCAUCCCAACCAGCAAACAUACACAAUACCAACUGUCAUUCUGCAACUACAAAACAGCACAGCCUGGAAAGUUCUCCGGUGUUUCCAGCAUGGAUUAGUCACCCUUCUGUCUUCUCUACAACACCAUCCUCCUGCAAAUGCCUCAGUGCAAUCGUUAGCAGCAUGCUGACAAGUGGAGAAAAUGUCUUUUGUCUUGCAGAUAUGGAGGGAACCAAGACCUGA